rnacentral:rRNA from 1 species
AUGGACAAACUCCACCCCCUUCUCAUUCCUGCAAUCAUGGAUGAACUCCAUCCCCUUCGUCACCCACACUUAGCCCUCUUUUUUCCCUCAACUGUUGAAGAAGUUGCAACCGGCCAUGAAAAAGUUGCGUCCACAGUGGGAGGUGCUGGAACCUGCCAGGGAAAAAGCUACAACCACAUCAAUUUGAGACAUGGUGGUGCAAGUCGAUGUCGGCGGCGAGCCGGAGACGGGGACCCUGGGAUGCGGCAACCAUGGCUAGAGGGCGCUGGAACCCUCCUCUGUUCAAGCUCUGCUGCAAUCAUGGUGAGCGGAGGCAGCCGAGGCAAGUGCCGGGCACGGCAGGCGAGCGAGGGUGACGGGCGCGGUGGCAACCAAGCAUGGGAAGACAAGGACAAGCGCAGGGAGCCAGCGAGCGCGCGGUACUGUAAAUCGGAUGCUUAA